rnacentral:rRNA from 1 species
AGUGAACGCUGGCGGUAGGCCUAACACAUGCAAGUCGAACGGCAGCACAGUAAGAGCUUGCUCUUACGGGUGGCGAGUGGCGGACGGGUGAGGAAUACAUCGGAAUCUACUUUUUCGUGGAGGAUAACGUAGGGAAACUUACGCUAAUACCGCAUACGACCUACGGGUGAAAGCAGGGGAUCUUCGGACCUUGCGCGAUUGAAUGAGCCGAUGUCGGAUUAGCUAGUUGGCGGGGUAAAGGCCCACCAAGGCGACGAUCCGUAGCUGGUCUGAGAGGAUGAUCAGCCACACUGGAACUGAGACACGGUCCAGACUCCUACGGGAGGCAGCAGUGGGGAAUAUUGGACAAUGGGCGCAAGCCUGAUCCAGCCAUACCGCGUGGGUGAAGAAGGCCUUCGGGUUGUAAAGCCCUCUUGUUGGGAAAGAAAAGCAGCAGGUUAAUACCCCGCUGUUCUGACGGUACCCAAAGAAUAAGCACCGGCUAACUUCGUG